AUGUUAGCAGUGAGGAGGCUGGGAAAGCUCCAGAGAGGAGAGAGUAUCUCUCAGCCUUCUACCCCUCCGUCGUCCUCCUCCUCUCCUCCUCCUCCUUCCUCCACUGGGAGGGGUCAGAGGCCCCCCCUCACUAAACCCCGGCCAGGGAUUGACUCUCCACCUCACACUCCCACCAAGACCCCCGCCUCUACCCACAAUGCUCGAUCCCAGCCCUCGGCAGCUGAUUCGCCAGUCCAAGAAGCGUGUGCGUCUGUCCCUUUACUCUGUCUGCCAACGGAGGAGGAGGAGGAGGAGGAGCGUCGGCGAACUCAUAGCCUGAUUGGUUACUCGUGGUCCGAAGCCGACGUCCUCUCGUUUCCAGGAAGCGCCCCUAGAUUCGCCACGGUUUGCCGCAGCAGCAGCUCUGCUCGACGCGCCGACGCCGACGACGCGACCGUCAACCGCAGCCAAUCGUCAGUGACGCUUCGUCCCAGGAGGAAAGGCCGGCCCCCGACUCCGCCCAAACGGUCGUGUUCCUCCAUCUCCGGCGGCGACGGGCUGCUGGGGGAGGGGCUCGGGGUAGUCGGGUUCAGGGAGAGGAGAGCCAGCGACUGCGGGGGUCUGGCGGAGAGGAGGGGCGACGGGGGGCUGGCGAGGUCAGAGGGAUCUGGAGGCAGCGUCCGAAGCAUUGCCGCCAUGUUGGAGACGUCGAUGGGAGGAGUUGGUCCUGGAGGAGGAGGAGGGGCCAAAACCCUGCCCAAAACCAUGAGAGGAAGAGGAAGUUACCUCGAGCCGACACAGGUCUGUCUGUCUGUCUGUCUGCCUGCCUGGUCUGGUCUGGUCUGGUCUGGUCUGGUCUGGUCUGGUCUGUCUGUCUGUCUGUCUGCAGCAAUCCCACCCCAAAGGCUCAUGGGUAAUGUGUGUAUAAUCCGCCAGGUCAGUCCAGCAGCGCUGCGUCGCCAGGCCGGGUCAGGUGGUCUGGGGUCUGAUGAUGACGUCAUGAAUCGCCGUCGGACCAUCAGCGGUCCGCUCACCGACCAGACAGACUCCGCCCAGAUCCCGUCACCACGGCAACACACUGAGCUACGCCCAGAACCACGCCCACGCUCCACGGUCGUCACGCCGACAGCAGAAGGGCUUAUUACGGAUGGAACAGCGACCAUCAACCGAAGGUUCAUCAGGCUAACUCUAUCAGGCUAA
rnacentral:lncRNA from 1 species